GAUGAACGCUGGCGGCGUGCCUAAUACAUGCAAGUCGAGCGAACAGACGAGGAGCUUGCUCCUUUGACGUUAGCGGCGGACGGGUGAGUAACACGUGGGUAACCUACCUAUAAGACUGGGAUAACUUCGGGAAACCGGAGCUAAUACCGGAUAAUAUUUCGAACCGCAUGGUUCGAUAGUGAAAGAUGGCUUUGCUAUCACUUAUAGAUGGACCUGCGCCGUAUUAGCUAGUUGGUAAGGUAACGGCUUACCAAGGCAACGAUACGUAGCCGACCUGAGAGGGUGAUCGGCCAGACUGGAACUGAGACACGGUCCAGACUCCUACGGGAGGCAGCAGUAGGGAAUCUUCCGCGAUGGGGGAAAGCCUGACGGAGCAACGCCGCGUGAGUGAUGAAGGUCUUCGGAUCGGAAAACUCUGUUAUUAGGGAAGAACAAACGUGUAAGUAACUGUGCACGUCUUGACGGUACCUAAUCAGAAAGCCACGGCUAACUACGUG
rnacentral:rRNA from 1 species